rnacentral:lncRNA from 1 species
AUGCAUGUUCCAAAAUGCAGAGUUAGAAAUAAAUCUCAUUUUUCAAGAUACUAUUAUUUUAAAAGAAUCUUAUUGAACUGUUCCCCUACAGGGUCUAUUCUAUACCAGACUUUAAAUCAAAGCAACAUGUUGUUUAAGUGUUCUGGAAGAUACUGUUCUACAAAUUUUAUCUCGGCUGCUCUCCCUGCCCCAAGCUCUGAUGGAUUAUCAUUCAGCAAUAAUUUUCCUCUCACUGUGGACACAACAUGCCCAUUGAUGUUGAGUGCAACCAGGACAUUUUCCCCUUGGACUUCUGGUUGCCUUUAUCUCUGUCCUGCAAUUUACUCCCAUGCUUCUCCUGGAGCCUUCCCUCCGAGAGCCCUCGGACCCCAGCUCCCAUGGGGCCAGGCUGUCCUCUGGGCACCUCACAGCAAGGUGAUUGGGUUUCAAGGGAGAAGGAGAGACAGAGACAGAGAGGGGGAAAGGAGAGAUAUGGAGAGAGAAAGAGAGAGAGAAGGAGAGAUGUGUGUGUGGGGGAUGUGGCGAGGAGAGAGGUAGGACAGGGAGGGGAGGGCACAGAGGUGUGUGGAGGAGGUCAUGGCAAGACCACAAACUGCAGAACCACCCUGAGGACAUACUGAAGCCCCCACCACCUUUGUGGCCUGCCCUUGGGAGUUGGCAACGUUGCUUCUGCUGCAUUCUAGUCAUCAAAGUCUAUUCACAAAGGCCCUUGGAGUUCCAAGGGGAGGCAGAAAGAGACACCAUCCCCUUAAGGGAGUGUGGCAACAUCCGGGAAGAACAUCCAAGAAGAACACAGUGGUCAAUUUUGGAAAAUAUUAAUCUACUGUAGAGCAUAACGCAGUUAUUUUCUCAAACAAGGAAUCUUUUCUCUGAUAGACUACUGUUAGCUGAAUAAAAAAUUGUAUUUUACUCCGCCGCACUUGCUUUUCACUGUAUACCCAAGUACAGCAAAUGCUCUGCUGUACACGGACAACGCUGUCAUGAGCUUUUAGGAAACCUCGUCUCCCAUGUCAGGCCCCCUCCCGUUAUCUUUUUAUAUGACCUUAUCUUUUUUCUUUGCUUACUGUUAGAAAAAUUGCUUUGAACGUAAUCUUUCCCUUCAAAGGAUGCAUCUAGAAAUGCACUUCCUGAAAUUCCUUUCGUAAUUGGUUCUAGUCAUCUGAGAAAAUAUAAAGCACUGUCGACAGAGUUUUGUUUCAUGAGAAGGCUGAUGACGGGUCAAGAGCCAUACAAAACCGUAACUACUCCCCAUCACCCCCCAUUGGCUUGUUCCUGUUUCAAAAAGUAUUCCUUUGAAAACAGAGAAUUUCUACACAACAUAAUUAUAGUACAUUGUAUUGUACUAUAUUAUACAAUUAUAUUGUACUAAUAUAGUAUAUUAUAGCAUUUGGACCAGUUGACCCAAGUCAACAUCAAAUAAGAGCCUCAGAUUAGGGGCACCUGGGUGGCUCAGUGGUUGAGCUUCUGCCUUUGGCUCAGGGUGUGAUCCUGGGGUCCUGGGAUGGAGUUUUGCAUCAGGUUCCCCGCAGGGAGCUCGCUUCUCCAACUGCCUGUCUCUGUCUUUCUGUCAUGAAUAAAUAAAUAAAAUUCCUUUAAAAAAAAAAAAAAAGAGCCUCAGAUUAUUUAGACAAAAAGGAAACCUAAUAGAUUAUGUCUUUUCACAGUACCUAUAAUAUUGUGUCCCGUGAUGGCAAGCAGUGGCUGCAUACAAGCCUGGGUGCACGGCCCCGGUGUGAUUAUGUGUUGUGAGUGCCCCUGAGGUCACCAAAGGAAGCCGUGGGUCUCUGAGCCCUACAGAUAUUGGAGCUGCUCAGACAUCUGUGAGACCUCACUGACUUUUAUCUCAGCGCCUGAUCACAAAGUAAACUGUAUUUGGUGCUUGGGAAGCCUCAGCCUGCUCUGUGGCCUGUGUGACCCUCUGCCACGAAGAAUAUCCAAGUGUGCUUUGCAGUCCAGGCCGCCAUGUACAGUGGUGUGUCAUGCACUGAGCAACUUCAGGAAUAUCCUUCUCAUUAAGGUCAUCCCAGGUUUUUUCUGGCAGAGAGCAAUAACAUACCUUGGGGAAGGGGCACCUUUUCCUAAUUCAUGUAGUGGUGUAUACUGCUUGGGAGGGGAAAGAAUAUUGACUAGAAUCAAGUUUACCCACAUUAAUAAUAAUGUUUCAUGCUUAUGUCGCCUUGGGGGUUCUUAAUCUCUUCUGUAGUGCCAUACACACUUGAUUUAUUGGCUUGUUUUCCUUUUUUCCUUUGACUUAAUGGCUCUUUCUCAUUGUUUUCUGAAAACAUGGCUUUGCUUUGCUUCCCGGAAUGGGAAACAGAAACGUUUCCCAUUUCUGCUGUUCAGAGGGAAGUGUGGCUAGCACAGAGUGCUGGGAUUCAUAUCCCCAGAACGUGGCCUCAGGUGGCUGUGAGCAUUCAGUAGGUUCGUCUGGCCUCAGAACCCCACAGAGGACAGAAGGAGCACCCUUCUAAGGCUUGGGGAGUAUCAAGUGAGUGGAACACAGCACAUCUUACAACAGCCUGAGGGAUCUGCAGUAAGUAGACAGAUCCCUCUUAGCUUCUCUAACCAGAGUGCCUCCUGGGAGGGGAGCCCUUUCCCUCUUGCUUUUAUCCUCUCCUCCAUCUCCCGAGGAACCAAGUGCUUUAAUUUUCCUCUCUCCUAUCAGAAAUUCAGGGGUUUAAUACAUUUUAUCUGCUAAUGAAUGGAGAGGGGAUAAUUCCUAAUCUUACAAAAUUGCUAAUGGUAGCGUUUCAGGCCUUUCCAGGGAACGUUUUAAAUGGCGGUGGCGGCCUCUGACUCACCUGUAAGUGGUUGAAGUAGGUUUGGCUCCAUGAUCAUGUUGGGCCUGAGACAAAUGUUCACUUGGCAUGAAUGAAUACAUAUUGGGACAAUUUUAGUAUCUCCUCAGGAGGUGCCCCCAGAGAAGUGUAUCUGAGGAAGACUUUUUUUUUUUUUUCUUUUCCCCUCUCCUGGCAGCCUCGUGAUUAAGAAGUGGCCCUUUUGGGGCAGCCGGGGAGGCUCAGCGGUUUAGCGCCUGCCUUCAGCCCAGGGAGUGAUCCUGGGGACCCGGGACCGAGUCCCACGUCGGGCUCCCUGCAUGGAGUCUGCUUCUCCCUCUGCCUGUGUCUCAUGAAUAAAUAAAUAAAAUCUUAAAAAAAAAAAAAAGUGGCCCUUUCACAGCCAGGGCACUGCCAUUACAGCUAAGGUCCACCGUCUGCCUCCUCCUUCCUCCAGGUCCACACGGAGCAAAGCACUGGGGGCCUGAAGGCUGGGACCAGGGGCAGCACCAAGGCCAGAAACACGCAAGGGGCUCUGGUGGGUCCUGGUGACAGGAGUCUUCUGCGGGACACCAGAGUGUAGGCUCUGCAGCUGGCACCUACGGGAAAAGGGAUCAACCGUGCAGCCCAUUCCCCGACCCGCGCACAAGAGCACGUAGCCAAGCCGUUUCCCGCAGACCUCGGGGGCCCGAGGCUGGUCAUUGAGCAGUGGUGGCUGCUCCGGUUGGAGAUCCUGAGCUGCAAAGCCGGGCUCGGUGCAGCCCUGGGCAAGUUCCUCAAGCCUGUCAGAGCCUGUUUCCUCAGCUCCGAAACGGGGGGGACGAAGCGCGCCCUGCAGCGUGGCUGGAGCACAGGCGAGCCCUCCUGAGAGGCGUGAGCGCUCGUGCAACGCGCAAGCACGAGCGGCGCUCAUACCGCGUCUUCCCAGGCGAGGUCGACCCCGGAUUUCCUGCUGGAAUGUUCUCCCGCGCCUCAGAUUUUCAGUGGGUGGAGUGGCGGGGGCGGGAGGGGCGUCAAAGAUUCUGAGAAGCCGGGAAAUCAC